UACAGAGGGUGCCGAGCGGUUGUUCGGAAUUAUUGGGCGUAAAGGGCGCGUAGGCGGUGCGGUAAGUCACCUGUGAAAUCUCCUGGCUCAACUGGGAGCUUGCAGGCGAAACUGCCGUGCUGGAGUGUGGGAGAGGUGCGUGGAAUUCCUGGUGUAGCGGUGAAAUGCGUAGAUAUCAGGAGGAACACCUGUGGCGAAAGCG
rnacentral:rRNA from 1 species